UGGAUCCUUUUUUCUGAGGUUUCCAGAUCUUUCAGGAUGUGAGCUCAUGAUAGGAUGUUUCUGUCAGUGAAACUCUCAGAGUCUGAUGACUGACUGUCUGUUUGAUUUCAACAUUCUUUUGUUCUUAUUUGAUUGUUUUCUAUAGAAGUUCUUUCUGGUCUUUUCCUGCAGGAUGUCUGAGGGGGCGGAGCCAAAUCAUUACGACAUCAGACUCACCUGGACUGAUCACCUGAGAACUAUUUAACCUGCCACUCGGUCUGAUUGAUUCUUCUGUUCUGGUUUUAUCUGGUGUGUUUGUCCAACCUGCAGCUCAGGUCCCUCUCUAUCUCCCCACACAUCCACCAACCACUGGAACACAUCUCCAAAGUUCUGCCAGGCCAGCUCAGCUUCCCCUCAGAAGAAGUGCCGCCACCUGCCAGAUGAAGGAGCCUUUUGAGAGGCAGCUGGCAUCGUGAUUGGACUGUACUUUGGUCUGUUCCAAUCCAGCUUCAGCUCCAGAGACGGGAGGCGGGACGAGUCAACGGAGGCCGGGUGGACGAAGGCAUGAAGCUGAGUACAAUCCAGAAAACAACAGAGGAGGAGUGCAGUGGCCCAGGGCCAGAACAACCAGAGUAGCAUCGUAUGUCUCUUAGAAAACAUCAUAGUAUAG